GAGUAAUUAAUCUAAUUUUCUAGGUUGAAUCUUGGGUCAAUUUGACCCAUUUGGUUUUUGAAGUAAUUAACAUGAGGUUUUAAGGGUAGUCUAGGGAUUGUUUAAAUUGGGGAGUCUUACCUAACUAAUUAGAAAGCUUCUAGAGUGGUGAGGUUGGGAGUGCAUUACUGAAUAGAGCAAAGAAAAGUAUUUGAGUGGAGUUAAAUAAAAAAUUGGGGAAGGGGUAUUUGUGAAUAGGUAAUUCAUUUCUGCUACCUAUUUAAAGAGACGGAAAUACACUAAAAUAAGAGGGACCUCUUUAGAAAUCUGCCGCAAAGGACAAAAUAAGACCCUAUUCCCCUGUAACUUCAUCUUCUCAACAAAAAUACACAGGAUACCCACCCCCUGAUCGACGGUCUUCAUAGAAGAAACAGCAAAAAAUUUCAUGGCUUCCUCUGAAGUGAAAACCCCUGAACGCUGGCACCCCAUACAGCACCCCUAAGCCGUCUUCUUCUUCAUCACCUUCGUCAGCCAAAACCGUCCCCCCCGCCCCCAGAGAAACUUCAUCUUUUUCAUGGAUUUCAGUCGCUAAGCACACACACACAGCAGAGAGAACAGAUAGAAAAUCAAGACGGAGGUAGAGGAUUUUUGGCUGGGUUUAUUUGUCGCAAAAAAUGGAAUUUGACUGAUAUUUGGGUUUGAGUUCAUGUUCGAUUCAACAUUCGUGGUGCCGAGUCGAGUUCCCAGCUGUUGCUCGAGGUUCCAUUCUAAUUUCUGCUCGUAUUUGCCGAACUUCAGCCCUAUUUGUUGUGUUUUUUUUUUGGCUCUUUCAAUCGUUUCUUGCCCAACCAGAUCCCGGUGCUAGAGCAUUUGGACCGUAGAGAGAGGUUGCUGCCUUUAGUCCAUCAGGAGACCCGAGGUAGUCCUGCAGACGUCUGCAGGCCCUAGAAUCCCCUUCUAUCUUUAUAUUCUGUUUUCAUUUACAUCAGAGACAGAUUGUAUCUUUCUUUCCAGACAACUAUUUGUAGUAUUCGUAGAUGGUUCAUGAUAUUGUAACACCAGUUCUUGGUAGAGAUGUACUUUGUAUUUUUCGUAUUUGUAUUUGGCUAAGUUAUCAGAUUUCUUCUUCCGUA